rnacentral:rRNA from 1 species
GACGAACCGUGCGAACGUUGUUCGGAUUCAUUGGGCUUAAAGGGCGCGUAGGCGGGCGUUCAAGUCGGGGGUGAAAUCCCACCGCUCAACGGUGGAAGUGCCCCCGAUACUGGACGUCUGGAGGGAGGUAGGGGUGUGUGGAACUUCCGGUGGAGCGGUGAAAUGCGUAGAUAUCGGAAGGAACGCCGGUGGCGAAAGCGACGCACUGGACCUCUUCUGACGCUGAGGCGCGAAAGCCAGGGGAGCAAACGGG